rnacentral:rRNA from 1 species
AUUGAACGCUGGCGGCAGGCCUAACACAUGCAAGUCGAACGAGUGGCGGACGGGUGAGUAAUGUCUGGGAACCUGCCUGAUGGAGGGGGAUAACUACUGGAAACGGUAGCUAAUACCGCAUCCCAUCGGAUGUGCCCAGAUGGGAUUAGCUAGUAGGUGGGGUAAAGGAUCACCUAGGCGACGAUCCCUAGCUGGUCUGAGAGGAUGACCAGCAACACUGGAAAUGAGACAAGGGCCAGACGCCUACGGGAGGAAGCAGUGGGGAAUAUUGGACAAUGGGCGCAAGCCUGAUGCAGCCAUGCCGCGUGUAUGAAGAAGGCCUUCGGGGUGUAAAGUACUUUCAGCGGGGAGGCGGUACCAGAAGAAUAAGCACCGGCUAACUCCGUGCCAGCAGCCGCGGUAAUAC